UACGGGGGGGGCAAGCGUUGUUCGGAAUUACUGGGCGUAAAGGGCUCGUAGGCGGCCAACUAAGUCAGACGUGAAAUCCCUCGGCUUAACCGGGGAACUGCGUCUGAUACUGGUUGGCUUGAGUGUGGGAGAGGGAUGCGGAAUUCCAGGUGUAGCGGUGAAAUGCGUAGAUAUCUGGAGGAAUACCGGUGGCGAAGGCGGCAUCCUGGACCGACAUUGACGCUGAGGAGCGAAAGCUAGGGGAGCAAACGGG
rnacentral:rRNA from 1 species